AUGCUCAAAGGGCAUAUGCUUUUGUGGAUUUGUAUCUUCAAAGUGAAUAAUUUUUCAAAUUCUGAAAAACGGCUUGUGCUGGAGGCAGCCCUGUUUCUUCAUCUGGGCACAACCCUAUUCAUCCUCCAAGACCCGCCAGAUUACCACUUCUUGCUGGGUUGGAUGUCUUUCCUCUCUACCCCUGCAUUGCCUCUAAUUUCACGCUCAUUACAUAGUGCCAUAAUCACUGUGCCUGUUUUUAAGGCUGCUGUCACUUCACAGGCCUGGGUCAUAGUAGUUGCACCAUAAAUAUGUGUUACUAUGAAGGUAUCUCAGAGAAAAUUUUGGUAACGACUAAUGUGUCUGAGAUUAACAAGAAAUUCCCCAGACAUAGAAGACUUAAGUAGAAAACUUCACAAUGCUUUUUCAAGCAAAAGUGCAGAGGUUGUUGUAAAGGGACUCGGCCAAUUUUGUUUUCAUGUAAUUUUGAUAUCUGUUGCCUAUCCAUCAACAUUUAUAGUGCUUUUCCAUAGGAUCAAAAAGCCAAGAAAAAAACGAAAAAAAUCAGGGAAAGUAAAGUUACAAGAAAAAAUAUGUAUUCCCCCAUUCUUACAAAGAAAUCUAAGUAGUUACAAAGGAGUCAGAGACUUUACACUCCCUCUUUGAGCUAUGCAGAUAUCUGAUCUGCAGGGGCUGUCCCCAAAACCCUAUGUUUUCUCAAUAUACUAAAUGCUCAGUAUACUAAAUGUACCACUCACGGUACUCAUCCCUUCUGCCUCAAACUACUGGCCCAUGUGCAAUUCACUCCUCAGGGAAGGAGCACUACCAGUCUUUGCUCAGAGGAGAGUAAUUGAACCAAAAAGGAAAUCUGAUCCAAAAUGUCCCAUCAAUAGCCUGGUCAGUGAUCCCUGAAGUAGCCUGGAGCAAAAACCUGAAGGAGGGAAGGAGUAAUCAGCAAAGCCACUUAUACAAGUCUCCUCUGCAAUUUGCUAUGGAGGUGACUGAGAAUAAUGGCUAGCAAGUGAAAGAAUUGGGCAGAGACACAGAAAGAAAUGGAGGUGCCUGGAGACUAUCUAAUUAAUGAGAAAGACAGACAAUAGCCAUCCCUGCAUCCAGGGUGCUCCUGGCAGCGUCUCAGGUCAGCAGCAUUCCAAUAUGCAGUAAUCCUUACCAUACCUCUUUUUCUUAAGGCAUCCCGAAGAAAGCAGACCA
rnacentral:lncRNA from 1 species